rnacentral:rRNA from 1 species
UACGGAGGGUGCAAGCGUUAUCCGGAUUCACUGGGUUUAAAGGGUGCGUAGGAGGGCAGGUAAGUCAGUGGUGAAAUCCCCGAGCUUAACUUGGGAACUGCCGUUGAUACUAUCUGUCUUGAAUAUUGUGGAGGUGAGCGGAAUAUGUCAUGCAGCGGUGAAAUGCUUAGAUAUGACAUAGAACACCAAUUGCGAAGGCAGCUCGCUACACAUAUAUUGACUCUGAGGCACGAAAGCGUGGGGAUCAAACAGG